UACAGAGGGUGCGAGCGUUGUUCGGAAUUACUGGGCGUAAAGCGCGCGCAGGCGGCCUUUUAAGUCUGUCGGUGAAAUGCCGGGGCUCAACCCCGUGCCCGCCGGAGAUACUGGGAGGCUGGAGACGAGUAGAGGCAAGCGGAAUUCCGGGUGUAGCGGUGGAAUGCGUAGAGAUCCGGAAGAACACCGGAGGCGAAGGCGGCUUGCUGGGCUUGGUCUGACGCUGAGGUGCGAGAGCGUGGGGAGCGAACCGG
rnacentral:rRNA from 1 species